rnacentral:rRNA from 1 species
GAUGAACGCUGGCGGCGUGCCUAAUACAUGCAAGUCGAGCGAACAGACGAGGAGCUUGCUCCUUUGACGUUAGCGGCGGACGGGUGAGUAACACGUAGGUAACCUACCUAUAAGACUGGGAUAACUUCGGGAAACCGGAGCUAAUACCGGAUAAUAUUUCGAACCGCAUGGUUCGAUAGUGAAAGAUGGCUUUGCUAUCACUUAUAGAUGGACCUGCGCCGUAUUAGCUAGUUGGUAAGGUAACGGCUUACCAAGGCAACGAUACGUAGCCGACCUGAGAGGGUGAUCGGCCACACGGGAACUGAGACACGUUCCAGACUCCUACGGGAGGCAGCAGUAGGGAAUCUUCCGCAAUGGGCGAAAGCCUGACGGGGAAACGCCGCGGGAGUGAUGAAGGGCUGCGGAUCGUAAAACCCUUUUUUUAGGGAAAAACAAACGUUAAAGUAACUUUGCCCGUUUUGACGGUACCUAAUCAGAAAGCCCCGGCUAACUGCGG